rnacentral:rRNA from 1 species
UACGUAGGAUCCAAGCGUUGUCCGGAUUUACUGGGUGUAAAGGGUGCGCAGGCGGACUGGUGAGUCUGGGGUGAAAUCUCGCUGCUUAACAGCGAAACUGCCUUAGAUACUAUCAGUCUUGAAUCAGCGAGAGGUUCGUGGAAUUCCGAGUGUAGCAGUGAAAUGUGUAGAUAUUCGGAAGAACACCAGUGGCGAAGGCAGCGAACUGGCGCUCGAUUGACGCUCAGGCACGAAAAGCAUGGGGGAUCAAACAGG